rnacentral:rRNA from 1 species
CCUACGGGAGGCAGCAGUGGGGAAUAUUGCACAAUGGGGGAAACCCUGAUGCAGCGACGCCGCGUGGAGGAAGAAGGUCUUCGGAUUGUAAACUCCUGUUGUUGAGGAAGAUAAUGACGGUACUCAACAAGGAAGUGACGGCUAACUACGUGCCAAGCAG